GCCGGGGAUGGGCACAGCCUCCGCUCGCAGCGUUCCCCGGGAUGCCCGGCAGCGGCAGAGCUGCUCCUGAGGGGGGGUUUGGGUGAUCAUUCCAUGAGAAAGGGCUGCCGAGCUGUGCCCACUGCACCGAGGGGCUUUCCCAGCGCUGCCAUCCCGGGAAUUCCGUGCCAAGCCCGGCUCCUGCCGCUCCGGAGGGGCAGCACCAGGCGAGGGAGAGGCUGGGGCAGGACCGGAGCCCUCCCGGUGCCGGCUGCUUCCCCAAGCAGCUCUUUUUACCUUUUCCCAGUUUUUCUCUCCUCCACAUGCACUUUCCCUUGGAAUAAAUCGUUUCUGUGUUA